UACCAGCACCCCGAGUGGUCGGGACGAUUAUUGGGCCUAAAGCAUCCGUAGCCGGUUCUACAAGUCUUCCGUUAAAUCCAGCUGCUCAACAGAUGGGCUGCGGGGGAUACUACAGGGCUAGGAGGCGGGAGAGGCAAGCGGUACUUUAUGGGUAGGGGUAAAAUCCGUUGAUCCAUAGAAGACCACCAGUGGCGAAGGCGGCUUGCCAGAACGCGCUCGACGGUGAGGGAUGAAAGCUGGGGGAGCAAACCGG
rnacentral:rRNA from 1 species